GUGUCAGCAGCCGCGGUAAUACGUAGGUCCCGAACGUUGCGCGAAUUUACUGGGCGUAAAGGGUCCGUAGGCGGUCUGGUAAGUGGAAGGUGAAAUCCUGGGGCUCAACUCCGGAACUGCAUUCGAUACUGGUCGGCUAGAGUUCGAGAGGGGGAUGCGGAAUUCCGCGUGUAGCAGUGAAAUGCGUAGAUAUGCGGAGGAACACCUGAGGCGAAGGCGGCAUCCUGGAUCGACACUGACGCUGAGGCCCGAAAGCGUGGGGAGCAAACAGGAUUAGAUACCCUGGUAGUCCACGCCCUAAACGAUGUCUACUAGCCGUUGCGGGUAUCGACCCCUGCAGUGGCGCAGCUAACGCGAUAAGUAGACCGCCUGGGGAGUACGGCCGCAAGGUUAAAACUCAAAUGAAUUGGCGGGG
rnacentral:rRNA from 1 species